GAUGAACGCUGGCGGCGUGCCUAAUACAUGCAAGUCGAGCGAACAGACGAGGAGCUUGCUUCUCUGAUGUUAGCGGCGGACGGGUGAGUAACACGUGGAUAACCUACCUAUAAGACUGGGAUAACUUCGGGAAACCGGAGCUAAUACCGGAUAAUAUUUUGAACCGCAUGGUUCAAUAGUGAAAGACGGUCUUGCUGUCACUUAUAGAUGGAUCUGCGCUGCAUUAGCUAGUUGGUAAGGUAACGGCUUACCAAGGCAACGAUGCAUAGCCGACCUGAGAGGGUGAUCGGCCACACUGGAACUGAGACACGGUCCAGACUCCUACGGGAGGCAGCAGUAGGGAAUCUUCCGCAAUGGGCGAAAGCCUGACGGAGCAACGCCGCGUGAGUGAUGAAGGUCUUCGGAUCGUAAAACUCUGUUAUUAGGGAAGAACAAAUGUGUAAGUAACUAUGCACAUCUUGACGGUACCUAAUCAGAAAGCCACGGCUAACUACGUG
rnacentral:rRNA from 1 species